AUCGAGCUGAUGAGUGUCAAAUAGAAUGAAACGCGCGUCCUUGAU
rnacentral:hammerhead_ribozyme from 1 species